rnacentral:rRNA from 1 species
GUGUCAGCAGCCGCGGUAAGACGAACCGUGCGAACGUUAUUCGGAAUCACUGGGCUUAAAGCGCGUGUAGGCGGAUGGGAACGUCGGCCUCUGAAAUCCCCCGGCUCAACCGGGGAAGUGGAGCCGAAACGACCCGUCUCGAGGAGCAUAGGGGGACCUGGAACUUCCGGUGGAGCGGUGAAAUGCGUUGAGAUCGGAAGGAACGCCCGUGGCGAAAGCGAGGUCCUGGAUGUUUACUGACGCUGAGACGCGAAAGCCAGGGGAGCGAACGGGAUUAGAUACCCCCGUAGUCC